UACGGAGGGUGCAAGCGUUGUUCGGAAUUACUGGGCGUAAAGCGCACGUAGGUGGUCUAUUAAGUCAGAUGUGAAAGUCCCUGGCUCAACUGGGGAAGUGCAUAUGAAACUGGUAGACUUGAGUACUGGAGGGGGAAGUGGAAUUCCCGGUGUAGAGGUGAAAUUCGUAGAUAUCGGGAGGAAUACCGGUGGCGAAGGCG
rnacentral:rRNA from 1 species